CUACGGGAGGCAGCAGUGGGGAAUUUUGGACAAUGGGCGCAAGCCUGAUCCAGCCAUGCCGCGUGCAGGAUGAAGGCCUUCGGGUUGUAAACUGCUUUUGUACGGAACGAAAAGACUCCUUCUAAUAAAGGGGGUCCAUGACGGUACCGUAAGAAUAAGCACCGGCUAACUACGUGCCAGCAGCCGCGGUAAUACGUAGGGUGCAAGCGUUAAUCGGAAUUACUGGGCGUAAAGCGUGCGCAGGCGGUUAUAUAAGACAGAUGUGAAAUCCCCGGGCUCAACCUGGGAACUGCAUUUGUGACUGUAUAGCUAGAGUACGGCAGAGGGGGAUGGAAUUCCGCGUGUAGCAGUGAAAUGCGUAGAUAUGCGGAGGAACACCGAUGGCGAAGGCAAUCCCCUGGGCCUGUACUGACGCUCAUGCACGAAAGCGUGGGGAGCAAACAGGAUUAGAUACCCUGGUAGUCCACGCCCUAAACGAUGUCAACUGGUUGUUGGGAAUUCACUUUCUCAGU
rnacentral:rRNA from 1 species